rnacentral:rRNA from 1 species
CCUACGGGUGGCAGCAGUGGGGAAUAUUGCACAAUGGGGGAAACCCUGAUGCAGCGACGCCGCGUGAGGGAAGAAGUAUUUCGGUAUGUAAACUUCUAUCAGCAGGGAAGAAAAUGACGGUACCUGACUAAGAAGCCCCGGCUAAAUACGUGCCAGCAGCCGCGGUAAUACGUAGGGGGCAAGCGUUAUCCGGAUUUACUGGGUGUAAAGGGAGCGUAGGCGGUGUAGCAAGUCAGACGUGAAAGCCCGGGGCUCAACUCCGGGACUGCUUUUGAAACUGUUUGACUAGAGUGCAGGAGAGGUAAGUGGAAUUCCUAGUGUAGCGGUGAAAUGCGUAGAUAUUAGGAGGAACACCAGUGGCGAAGGCGGCUUACUGGACUGUAAAUGACGCUGAGGCUCGAAAGCGUGGGGAGCAAACAGGAUUAGAUACCCCAGUAGUC